UCUACGGCCCAUGACCAUGAGGCCGAAGACCCACCUGCCGCACAGCCAGGCCGCCGCCGCAGCCACCACCAACCCCGCGGCGGCCGGCCUCGCCCGAUAAGACGCCGGCCCGCCUCCCGCCUCCCCCUCCCCUUCCGCUCCCACCUGCCCCCGCGGCGGCCGGCCUCGCCCGAUAAGACGCCGGCCCGCCUCCCGCCUCCGGCCUCCCCCUCCCCUUCCGCUCCCACCUGCCCCCGCGUGCCACGGCCCACGACCAGCCACCUCCUGCCGCAGCGAUGCCGCCCCCGUCCCUCUUGCUCCUCCACUCCCGCGCCCCGCUUCAGCCCCGCCCAUUCCGGAUGAACUCCCGGGGAGCUCCGAGCAGGGUAGUCGUCUGCUCCGCCGCGUCCGCCGAGGGGUUCAUCUCCGCGGCUCCGAUCCUUCUCCCAGAGGGUCCCUGGAAGCAGGUAGAAGGUGGCGUUACUGCCGCGAAGGGGUUCAAGGCGGCGGGCAUCUACGGUGGGCUGCGCGCCAAGGGCGAGAAGCCCGACUUGGCAUUGGUCGCCUGCGACGUCGACGCCACCGUAGCAGGAGCUUUUACUACAAACGUAGUUGCUGCCGCACCUGUUUUGUAUUGUAAGAACGUCCUCAAUACAUCGAAAACAGGUCGUGCUGUGUUAAUUAAUGCUGGACAAGCAAAUGCUGCAACUGGUGAUCUUGGCUAUCAGGAUGCAGUUGAUAGUGCACAUGCUGUUGCCAAGCUUCUCAAUGUGAGCACAGAUGACAUACUGAUUCAGUCUACUGGUGUCAUUGGUCAAAGAAUAAAGAAGGAGGCACUUCUAAAUUCACUGCCUAGACUUGUGGGUUCACUGUCUUCUUCAGUUCAGGGCGCGAAUUCUGCUGCUGUGGCCAUUACAACUACAGACCUUGUUAGCAAGAGCAUUGCUGUCCAGACUGAGAUUGGAGGAGUGGCUAUCAGAAUAGGAGGAAUGGCUAAAGGUUCUGGAAUGAUUCACCCAAACAUGGCAACUAUGCUCGGUGUUUUAACCACUGAUGCUCAAGUCAGCAGUGAUGUCUGGAGAGAAAUGGUCCGAACCUCAGUUAGUAGAAGUUUCAACCAAAUUACUGUGGAUGGUGAUACAAGUACCAAUGACUGUGUUAUUGCUAUGGCAAGUGGGUUAUCUGGUUUAUCUGGAAUUCUCAGUCUUGACAGCACUGAGGCCCAACAGUUCCAAGCAUGCCUAGAUGCAGUAAUGCAAGGUCUUGCGAAAUCCAUUGCAUGGGAUGGUGAGGGUGCAACGUGCUUAAUUGAGGUUACUGUAAGUGGUGCGAACAAUGAGGCAGAAGCUGCUAAAAUUGCUCGUUCAGUAGCAUCUUCUUCUCUGGUUAAAGCCGCUGUGUUUGGAAGAGAUCCGAAUUGGGGACGUAUUGCUUGCUCAGUUGGCUAUUCAGGCAUUCAGUUUGAUGCAAAUCGACUUGAUAUUUCUCUGGGAGCUAUUCCACUAAUGAAAAAUGGUCAACCACUACCCUUUGACAGCUAGCAAGUAUCUCAAAGAUGCUGGAGAUGUCCAUGGUACAGUGAACAUUGAUAUAUCAGUUGGAAGUGGAGGAGGAAAUGGAAAGGCAUGGGGCUGUGAUCUGAGCUACAAAUACGUUGAAAUAAAUGCUGAAUAUACAACGUGAGAUAUAUUCACUUUGAAGAAAAAUGUCUUCACUGGUUGGAACGAUGAAUCUUUCGGUGCAACCACCAUCUGGAGAAUGUAUAUCGUGUUGCAACAGCCAGCCUUUUCUUACCAAGAUGUUGCACGUGUACUGUUCUUUCACGCGAGAUCAAUUUAAACCAAUGCCUUGUAAGUGUAAUAAUGCGAUGAAUAAUGGUGGGCACAGUAACUGUGAUGACACCACCUUGUUCGGUUCUGAAUCUUUGAUGACGAUAUGGGAAAGUAUAGGUCUGACAAACAAAAAUCUGAAAUCUGGUAUCCAUGCGCAUCGAUGGUUCUACAUGUCAAA